UUUUAGCCCUGAUGGAAGCGGCAUCCCAGCUCGUUUUUUCUACGAGAUGGAAUAUAGCGGACAGCAGGAACAAUG
rfam:Flavobacterium sp. A45 NODE_12_length_87776_cov_15.4856_ID_23, whole genome shotgun sequence.